rnacentral:lncRNA from 1 species
AUGGCCGCGGCGGGGGGCGCGCUUCCGACCCGGGGGGCGCUGCGGCGGGGGAAGAAGGCUCGGUCAGCGGCCAACGGGGCUCUCCCGGGCGGGGGGCGGCGGAGAGGGCCGGGCCCCUCCGCGCUCACCUGCCGGGAGGAGCCCGCGGCCGCCCCUCCAUCCUUUCCUCCCUCCCUUCCUCCCUCCCUCCAUUCCGGGCAUCCCCGGAGUUUCUCUGUCGGGAGGGGUGGGGGGCAGCUGCAAGAUUCCCCGGCCGGCAGCGCACCUCCCCCCCUCCCCGAUCCCGGUCCCAGAGGACCCCUCCGUUCCCCGGUUACCCGGAGACGCGGCCGCGCUGCCCGGCACGCGGCUCCCCCCGGGCUGCGGCCGCCGGAGCCGGGAGCGCAGCGGCGCGGGGCUGUAAAUCAGGAGGCAAUGAGCGGCCGUGUCAAAGCCCUUUUCUUCCUCCGUGCACUUUACAUCGGGCCCCCGAGUGACGGCCCUCCCCGCCCUGUAACACGAGGAGCAAAGCGUGAAACACUCCAUUGUGACUGCGACUUCUUCAGCCGAGUUUCGAAACCUUCGUUUACCCGGGAGGGACCGCGCAGGGGGAAGCUCCGUUCAAUUAAAAGUUCCGAGCUCCGUUUCCAGCUCCCCGUAUCCCCGGGGGUUCGGGGCCACUCCCGGCGAAGGCUCCGCUGUGCCACAGCCCACGGCCGGAGCGCGCCCGGCCCCGGCGCACGGCGGUCUCCACGGAGGAGGAAGAAAGCGGGCGAAGAAUGUCACCGAGCGGAGCGGCUUGGAGAAAAGUUGGCGGCUCGCUCCCAAAGUUUUUGCUUUCUUUCUUUUUUCUUUCUUUCUUUUUUUUUUUUUUUCCUCGAGAAAGGAAUGAGUAAAUCCAGCACCGAGCCCCUAUGCAGAACGCUGCGUUUCUCCGCUCUUUCCCUGGGUAAUUUCCUCGCAGCGCAACGCAGCGCCUCGAAGCCCACCGGUGCGGGGCUGCGCCUCACCGACACCGCCGUCCCGAGCACCGCACCGCGACCGCGCGCCCUCGCGGCUCUCCCCGCUCCCGCGGCCCCGGCUCGGGGGGCACCGCACGGCCGCGGCGAUGCUCCGUGCGCGGUCCCCGUGGGGCGCAGCUCCGCGCCAGGAGGCGAAGUCACACCGCUGCCAUCCAUCCAUCCAUCCAUCCAUCCAUCCAUCCAUCCAUCCAUCCAUCCAUCCAUCCAUCCCCUCGCCGGCAGCAGCAUCAUUUCCAUGACAACACCCGGCGGAGAAAACCCGGCUCCGGCCGCCGCCCCCCGCCCGGGGCACGGCUCGGUCGGACAGAGGCGGCAUCCCGGGCGCACACACCGGGAGGCGAAAGUUGUCCUCCGCUCGCCGAGCUCCGAGCGCGGCGCCGCAACUUUCCCCGCCCGCCCCGUACGUACUCGGCUGCUGUGGGGGUUCCGUCUUUACAUCCAGGCGCCCGCUCCCUCUCAGGCGCUGUCCAGCGGCCGUGGGGCACGGCGGGGUUGCCGGGCGGCUGCGGCUCCGCACCGCGCGCUCCCCGCGGGCAUGGGAAGGGCCCUCCGGAGCCCCGCGAGCCGCUGCCGGGCGGGCGCCACGCUUCGUCCCCGCGGCGGCUGCGAGCGCCCCGCGGUGCGCGUGCGGCGGUGCCGGGAGAGAGGACGGCGGCGGCUGCUCCGCGCUGCUCUCCGCUGCCUCGCUCGGAACGUCAUUUAUGUGAGAGCGGCCCUAGCGGCCUCUCCAUAG